rnacentral:lncRNA from 1 species
AGUUUCAGACAUCAACACCACCCUUCAUAAAGAACCACACAACAACCAUCUUCAUUCGAUCGCUGGGACUCAAGGCGGUGCAUAUCCAUGAUUCCUCCAGCUGGACUGUAUCGGACUGGCUUUACUUCAACAUGGGAUCAAGAAUGUGUUUGCUGUUGCUUCUUGUACUGCUUAUAUUUACCGAUCACAGCCGAGGUGUUCCUGAGACACAUGAAACUUCUUUGGUUGUCAGCACAUUCACUGAUGCCUCUAUUGUUGGAGAACCACUGACUGCUGUGAACCCAAUCAACACCCCAAGACAACACAACAGAUUGUGCAGCUGUGAAGGUGGAAGCAACAUUAAUGCAAAGGGAAGAGACAUGAAUACACGCUGCCUUUGUCAGCAGUCUGGCCGACGCAACGGCAAACAUGGAAAAUUGAAAACAUUGUGCCAGAGGAAAAGAAAUAAGAAUCUGAAGAAGUGCAUCUGGUUUUCCAAAACGAAGAGCGGCAACACCAGGAAGUUCGGUCCCAGUGUCCCGAUAUGAACAACAGCAAGAAGCACUUCAUAUAUAUCCUUAUUAUAUAUACGUCUAUACAAUCAUAGCUAACAUGCUUCUUCUUUUUCUAUACAAGUUAUAUUUUUUACCAACAAAUGUUUGCGUGACUGUAACUUUCUGAAUCAGCACAAAGACACUGUUUCCUCCUCAAUAAAGUCCCAAAGAAUUGAUUGUGUGAUUAUUUAUUGAUUAAGAAAUAAAUAC